AUGACUUCGAGGCCGACGAGCGCCGCGCCGGCAUCACCAUCUUCGUCCCCAUCGACGACGCCUUCGCCGGCCUCCCUCCCGGUGCUGCGAUUCUACGUGCUGCACUCCUACUACCGGCUCGGCUCCCUCGAGUCCAUCAAGAACCCCGUCCAGCCCACGUUCGCCAUCGAGUGCACCGUGGCCGGCUGCUUCGUGCCUCCAGUUCUAGGUGGAGCAAACAUAAAUGCCGUGGUCGAUGGCGACGGAGCCGUUGAAUCGUGUGAUGUUGAGCCUGAAGCAGCCGGGCUCUGCAAUCGUGACGCUGGACGCUGCAGAGGAGAGGACGUCAUAGCCGGAGUUCGAGUUCAAGACGCAGAGGAGAGGACGCCAUAG
rnacentral:rRNA from 1 species